rnacentral:rRNA from 1 species
ACUCAAAUGAAUAGACGGGGGCCCGCACAAGCGGUGGAGCAUGUGGUUUAAUUCGAGGCAACGCGAAGAACCUUACCCAGGCUUGACAUCCCAAGACCGCCGUGGAAACACGGUUUCCCCUUCGGGGGCUUGGAGACAGGUGUUGCAUGGCUGUCGUCAGCUCGUGUCGUGAGAUGUUGGGUUAAGUCCCGCAACGAGCGCAACCCUUGUCCCUAGUUACCAGCGGUUCGGCCGGGCACUCUAGGGAGACUGCCGGUGAUAAGCCGGAGGAAGGUGGGGACGACGUCAAGUCAUCAUGGCCUUUAUGCUUGGGGCCACACACGUGCUACAAUGGCCGGUACAAUGGGUCGCGAACCCGCGAGGGGGAGCCAAUCUCAAAAAGCCGGUCUCAGUUCGGAUUGGAGUCUGCAAUUCGACUCCAUGAAGCCGGAAUCGCUAGUAAUCGCGCAUCAGCUACGGCGCGGUGAAUACGUUCCCGGGCCUUGUACACACCGCCCGU